AAUUCUCAACCUUAUCAGUUUUGUAAUGAGACUGUGUGAGGCUUGGAUAUUGGGGGUUUGUGCAGGCUGCAUCAGUGCGGUCUGCUCCCCUGAAACGCAUUAGCGAGUUCAAACUGGGCUCCGUCUAUUGGUGUGAUAAUUAUCUACGCCGUGGAUUGGGCUUAGACUUGCUUCUAACCGUCUGCAAGGACAAUCUUUUGACA
rnacentral:misc_RNA from 1 species